CACAAAACCUACUUAGGUGGUGUGAUGUCGAGCAUGGUCAGUCAAAUGUAAUAUUGGUAAAAUUCUUAAAUACAUAUGUCUUAUGCAUUUAUAAUCGGCAAUGUCUAUUUAUUUAUUUAUUAUAAUGAAAUUUGAAAGUAUUUAUAAAAAUUUUUAAACGAUGCCAGCUAGCAAUUGGGUGUAGCUACUUUUAUGGCUCCCUCAGUCGCUUCCCGGGAAACCAAAGCUUUUGGGCUCCGGGGGAAGUAUGGUUGCAAAGCUGAAACUUAAAGGAAUUGACGGAAGGGCACCACCAGGAGUGGAGCCUGCGGUUUAAUUUGACUCAACACGGGAAAACUUACCAGGUCCGAACAUAAGUGUGUAAGACAGAUUGAUAGCUCUUUCUCGAAUCUAUGGGUGGUGGUAAAUAGCCGUUCUUAGUUCCUAUAGGAAGUAAAAGUCGUAACAAGGUUUCCGUAGGUGAACCUGCGGAUGGAUCAUUA
rnacentral:ncRNA from 1 species